UACGGAGGGUGCGAGCGUUGUCCGGAAUCAUUGGGCGUAAAGGGCGCGUAGGUGGCGGGACAAGCGUGCGGUGAAAGCCUGGGGCUCAACCCCGGGUCGGCCGUGCGAACUGUUUUGCUUGAGCACUGUAGAGGCAGGCGGAAUUCCGGGUGUAGCGGUGGAAUGCGUGGAGAUCCGGAAGAACACCGGUGGCGAAGGCGGCCUGCUGGGCAGUAGCUGACACUGAGGCGCGACAGCGUGGGGAGCAAACAGG
rnacentral:rRNA from 1 species